rnacentral:lncRNA from 10 species
ACUCCCCACCUAACCCGCUUGGCACCUGCGGAGGUAGGGGAACUAGUGGAGCUGUAGGUUUCGCUAAACCUGGGCUUGGUCGCAGCACUGCCACUCCUCCUCCUUCCCUCUGGGUGCCUUUCCUCAUGUACCUGGAAAAUCUGAGUCAUCCAAGAUCCAAGAAUGUCGUUUCAAGUGAUCGAACUUGCUCAUUUUACGGAUGGGGAAACUGGGCAUCCAUGACUCAGCUCUCGUUUUUUAAGCGCCGGAGUGUGUUGUGAGCACUUUGCAAGCAUGGUGUCAUAUCAUUCUUAUCUCCUACCGCUGUGCUGCCAGGGAGACCGGGGGCAAACGGUCUUGGAUCACCUAGAAAUGCAACCAGUCGUUAAAUUCGGUGCCUGGUGCUUGCUCUUGAAAAGGUUCCUAUCUUCAAUUGUAAGAGGAAAACGAGUUUUCAAUCAUGUCUGCUACUUUUUACUGAGCACUGACUAGAGACUCGCAGCUAGGCCCGAGACAUUAUCCCCAUUUUAAAGAUGAGGUACCUGAGGCUCAGGAAGGUUAAGCAACAUCUUCAAGGGUACAUAAAGGGCAUAUGCCCAAAGACUAUAAAAUAGUGAAGCCAGAAUUUGAACAUACGUCUCUGACUCCAAAAACCAUGUCCUAAACAUCUUCUUCUUUUUUUUUUUUUUUUGAGACAGAGUCUCUCAUUGUCGCCCAGGCUGGAGUGCAGUGGCGCGAUCUCGAUUCACUGCAAGCUCCGCCUCCCGGGUUGACGCCAUUCUCCUGCCUCAGCCUCCCGAGUAGCUGGGACUACAGGCGCCCGCCACAACGCCCGGCUAAUUUUUUUAUAUAUAUUUUUCGUAGAGACGGGGUUUCACCAUGUUAGCCAGGAUGGUCUCGAUCUCCUGACCUCGUGAUCCGCCCGCCUCGGCUUCUCAAAAUGCUGGGAUUACAAGCGUGAGCCACCGCACCUGGCCUAAACAUUCUUCCUUUUAAGCCCUUUGUCAGAAUCUGGCAGAAUUUGGGUCCAACAACUGAAGGAAUGCAGCCCUACUUUUUCAUCUGCUAAGCUGAUAAUCACAGUUGCCUUCACCAGGCAUUUGACAGGAGGAGGAAUAUGCUCCCUGGUCCCUGCAGGUAUUUCUGUGUAGUUGGCUUAAGUUCAACUAGGGCAUACUCAGCUCCUACAG